GAAAUUCAAACUUAACUAGGCAUCCUGUACUUUAUCUAGCAAUCCUAAUAGUGAUGGCUUUCCUCUACAUGGUUUAUGGUAGAAAAAAACUGUUACAAUACAAGGCUUAUUAAUAUCUGACAGGAAUGAUAGGGAAUUUUUUAAAAAAGAGUGACAAUAAAAGUGCUGCUUAGUAUUUAUUGUCCAAAGCAAGCAAAAGUAGAGAAACAGGAGGCUAUGGCAGAAGAAAAUCAUCUCAAUUUUAAAAAAAAAUCAAUUCCUUGCUCAAUUGCUAGAUCUAAUUAGAACUUGAUAACUGGAUUUCUUGAAGGAAAGACUCUGCCCACAAACAUCUACCAUAUGAUUCUCCAGAGGGUUCUCCAUCUGGCUACUCAAGUGACUGUGUCCCAGGGAUAGAGAAAUGACUAGAAUUGCCCAGGAUCAUUGAGCAUAGGAUAUAAGCUAACAUGGAUACCUAGAGAUCCAAGGCAUAGUGAUCCCUCUCUGUUGGAACUUGCCUUUGGAGCCAAUAAAUAAAUGCAGUCCUGGCAUAAGUGCAGUUCACAGUGGGUCUACUGAGUCCUCAGAAAUUCACAGUCCCCUAGCAUAUAACUGGAACUUAUACUCUUGGCUGUUGGAAUAACUCUUACAUUGGGUCCCUGGCUUAUGCAUUAAGAGCUAAGAGCAUAGUAGAAAAGGUUAAUUGGUAACUUCUGAAUUGUUGGACUCAAAAUGUUAUCCUCUAAACCAAAGUGUCAUAUCCCUGGGGAGAAGCAGGGGUGGCAGAAUAAGUGUUACCAUUGACAGCCUACAAGAUGCUGGGUCUGUCGUCCGUAUAUUGGUACUAGUAUACUAGAACAAUCCCUGAAUGAACCCUGGAGAAUUACUGUACACUACCCUACUGCUGGCCUAAAGAAGUGGAAAACCUGAUGGCAGCUGAUGUGUGCAAAGAGAUCUUAUUGCUAUCCCAGAUUAACAAGGCCUCACUCAGGGUCAAAGGCCAAAGACCUCCAACUUCCUGGACAGCUCACAUAAUACGUCACUUAUCCAUUACAUCAAAACCUUAUGCUGACUGGAAAGGGCAAGCAAGAAGCUUUGAGAAGACACAUGCAUUCCAGAAUUGGGUUAUAAAGCCUAUGAAGAUUCAGGGAUCAGGCAGUUUGAUGAAGGUUAUAGGGGUGCAGAGGAAAAGUGAUGCAGACCCAUGUUGUCUGCUUCCUGGAAUCUGUCAGCCCUGAAACCCUGUGCUUGGGGAGAUGCCCAAACAGACAACCCUCCCUGAGGGAGGAGGCCCUGUCUCCCAUGGCUCU